GACGGAAGGUGCAAGCGUUGCUCGGAAUUACUGGGCGUAAAGCGCGUGUAGGCGGUUGCCCAAGUCGGGUGUGAAAGCCUUGAGCUCAACUCAAGAAAUGCACUCGGUACUGGGUGACUAGAGGACCGGAGAGGAUAGUGGAAUUCCCAGUGUAGUGGUGAAAUACGUAGAGAUUGGGAAGAACACCAGUGGCGAAGGCGGCUAUCUGGACGGUUUCUGACGCUAAGACGCGAAAGCGUGGGGAGCAAACAGG
rnacentral:rRNA from 1 species